rnacentral:lncRNA from 9 species
GUUCCAGAAAAAAUGCAGUAAACAAGGGGAUGGAGUUCCUGGUGUGGCUCAGCUGAAAUGAAUCUGACUAACAUCUAUGAGGAUGCAGAUGGGGACACUCUCACAAAUGGAGAUUUCCCUUGUAACUGUAAAUGUCUCUUCCAAAACGGUCCAUUAAUUUGUUCAGAAAAUAUUUGAACAGCUAAGCAUACUCCAGGAAUCUCAGAGACCCUUUUUAAGCAAUUUGAUGAGAACACUAGCGGAAAAUGAAUGACUUUAAACAAAUGAAAAUGAAGGAUCAUAAGAACUGAAACAAGUUGGG